rnacentral:lncRNA from 1 species
ACAGACUUAAAUUACUGUAAACUCCUGAACUGCAUGUGUUUACAUUUAUUUUUAUAGAAAUCUCGUUUAAUCAAACCACACACGGUUACGCAGUGUGGAGACAGCAGCAGAACUGUAUUAAUAAAUAAAAAUGAAAGUGUUCAGAAAACAAUGAGUCAAAGAAAUGCUUUCCAUAGAGAACCAGCUCCCUCAUCUUCAUGUUUGGAUAACUGUAGCAGAAAACAACAUGUGAAAAAAAGAGGCCCGAAAAGAUGGAAUAUUUCAGAGCACAGGGCUAUUUCCCAGAAGAAAGCAAGACCUCAUGAACGACAGAUACCUCCUGUUUCCCUAUUGGAGAAGGAUCACCGAGUUUCACUGGUACCUCUUCCUAAGAGCCAACACAUGCUUCUGGAGAAAUCUGAAGUUGCCAACAUUAAAAAAGAAGACAGUGACCCAGAAAUCAUCUGUGUAAUGGCGUCUGAGGAUGAGACUGAAGAUUUGUUUAAGUGUGGGGAAAGUAGAGAAUUUCUUUGGUUGAACAAAGGUUCAUUUGGAGGAAAACAGAAACGGCGUGACUUACAAAGGUAUAUUUGUUUUGAUCAGAAGGAUGCUACAAAAAUAAAGGGAAAUAAUUUGCCGCCUUCAAAAUUGGAAAGUGCAUUGGCUGAAGAUCAAAAAGGAUGUGCUGAAGGAAAAGCCCAAGUUGCAAUGCAGGAGACAGGUGCUGUGGCACACAUAGAAGAGUCUUCCCAGUGUAUGUCUGGAAAGAAAACGGUAGAAACUUUAACCUCUCUUUUAAGCCACAGGGGCCUUCAGAACAACUAA